CAGAGGCACUACUUGGAUGCGAGCCAGAGCCAGCGGUGCGCCUUGGCGAUUAUCCCGAGCCAUCCUGUACGCCCCGAGUUGCGCGUCGUCCCCGCACCCUGCUCCAGUGACGAAGCGGUGCUUUUAAAGGAGUGUCAUGCCCGAUCGAUGCUUCCAUCCCUCUUUUCCCCUCCCCGGCCUUCUUUUUUGGCUUGCGCGAUCUCGCACUGCAAUAUCAUUGGAAUUCACAAAGUCGGAAUUUUCAACACGAAGCCAGGAGAUUGGACCUCCGCAUCGCCAACGUUCUUCAUGAGAAGCGAAUCGAUAAAGCAUCGUAUAUGCGCCGAAGAACUGUUCCACGUGUAGUUAAUAGUCAGAUCGAUAUCAUAUCGAAACGAGGUCAAUAUCGAAUCGGUAGGAAAAAAGAUUAAAGGCCACAGAAGACCGAAACUGCUGCAAUAUCGAAGCAAAUCAAGCUGUCCGAUCAACAGGAAAUCUAUCCAGCCUGCCACGAAAUCAGGAAACAUGUACAUCGUCUGUUCGGUAUCUCUGAACGCAAGUAGUUUGUGUCCAAGGAGUACCACCCUCGCACUUAUAUUGGAGCAAUCCAGCGACUGCAAUCAUAACGCCGUUAUCUAUGCAGAAUCGCUCAUCCGUCG